rnacentral:rRNA from 1 species
AUUGAACGCUGGCGGCAUGCCUUACACAUGCAAGCCGAACGGCAGCACGGGAGCAAUCCUGGUGGCGAGUGGCGAACGGGUGAGUAAAGUAUCGGAACGUGCCCAGUCGUGGGGGAUAACGUAGCGAAAGUUACGCUAAUACCGCAUACGAUCUAUGGAUGAAAGCGGGGGAUCGCAAGACCUCGCGCGAUUGGAGCGGCAGAUAUCAGAUGAGGUAGUUGGUGGGGUAAAGGCUCACCAAGCCGACGAUCUGUAGCUGGUCUGAGAGGACGACCAGCCACACUGGGACUGAGACACGGCCCAGAGUCCUACGGGAGGCAGCAGUGGGGAAUUUUGGACAAUGGGCGAAAGCCUGAUUCAGCCAUGCCGCGUGCAGGAUGAAGGCCUUCGGGUUGUAAACUGCUUUUGUACAGAACGAAAAGGUUUGGCCUAAUAAGCUGAGCUCAUGACGGUACCGUAAGAAUAAGCACCGGCUAACUACGUGCCAGCCGCCGCCGUAA